AUUCUCUCUUGGGGCACAUAUACUAAAAUUGGAAUGAUACAGAGAAGGUUGGCAUGGCCCCUAUGCAAGGAUGACAUGCAAAUUUGUGAAUCAUUCUAUACUUUU
rnacentral:snRNA from 1 species